rnacentral:lncRNA from 1 species
CUGAAGUUGUUACAAUGUCAUGAAAAAGGAAGGCUUCUUCUGCUUUCCCAUUUCCUCCUCUUUUACCGCCUGCUAUUUCCUGGCAGUUAGUGCAGCUGCCAAAAGUAUGGAUCAAGGAGGUAGGGUGGUAAAAAUAUAUGAAGAAUCAGUCCAAAUUUGAGGAUCCCCAUAGAGACAUGAGAUGAUAGACCUGGAAAAAGACGACAUGGGGCCAGGUGGGAUUGCAGAGGUAGCCACAGGAAGAGAUGGUUUAUGUGCUGGGAGAUGGGGAGAAACAGACAAGUUAUAAUACUGACAUCUAUCUCCAUGGGAGGUGUUGACAUUUUGCUGAAACCUUCCAAGACGGGAACUCCUGCUGUGGAUAGGAGAUGCCAUUUCAUUGAAAAUGAGAAAUCAGAAGUCAAAUAUACUUUAUUCAUAAAAGCUGAACUCAAGACUUUUGGGAAAUAACGUGUAUGUGCAAACAAAUACAUACUCCAGAGAAAUUCCUCAUCUCAGAAAUAACCUUUAUUAUUAGUUACUAAUUGUAUUGACUUAUUCUAAAACAAGCAGUACAAAAUAACAUAUCGAUGUAUUAUUUUUCUAAAUUACAAAAAUAGAUUCACUAUUAGGUCUGUAAUACUUUUGACACAUAACUUUUAGUAAUAUAUCUUGUUUAGUUGACUAUUUGUAGUUAUCUUGGUGUGUCUUAUACAAUUCAUGACAUUAGAAUUGAAAACUGAAGUUAGAAAUUUUUUUCUGAUAUACAGUAAGAUUUGAUUGAUUUGAGAUGUGGACUGGUUUUGCUCACUAUCUUCUAUGAUAAAUAUUUAUUAAAAAUGAGCUAAAUCUGCCGAGGCAAAGUUAUGAUUAAAAUGUGUUUAAGUUAUAUUAAAAAUAAGGAUUCCUAUGCAAUGCUUGUUUCCUCUGUCAAUUGUUAAGUUUAUCAUGGGUAAGUCGCAAUCAUUAUAUUGCUAUUUUCAGUGCAUAGUAUGAUAUUGAGUACAUAUUUAGCAUUUAAUAAAUAUGUAAUGAUGGAAAUGUAAAUACUUGAAUAUUGCUAAAUAGAAGAACAUUUUCUUUCUAAUUAGAGGUCAAAUCAGGAUUAAAAAGCUCCUUAUGUUGGAUUCUUUUGAUAUUAUUUGUUGAUAGGGGUCUAUGGCCUCAAUCAAUUUUCUUUUUAAAUUAAUACACUUUGUUUUUUGAGUUGUUUUAGGCUCACAGCAAAAUCGAAUGAAAAGUACAGAAGGUUCCCAUCUACGCCCUGUCUUCACACACAAAUAGCCUCCCCCCACUAUCACCAUGCUACACAUCACAGUGGUACCCAGAAUUACUUUUUGACCAUUUGAGUAUUUGUGGCACAGCUAGAUUUUGAAUCUGUUUGAUUGGACUCAGAUACAUGUGUGCAUUUCAGUACUUUCAGAACUACUAGUGUAAAGAGUAAAGAUCAGAGUGGAGGGGCAGGAUCCAUCCACAUGGGGUGUGGUCAUAGUAAACCUCUCAGAUCUCAAUUCCUGCUUCACAAAGCAGCUAUGAUAUAACUUUUAAAAUCUGGUUUCACCAAUUUCCUGGAAAAAGUUACUCUGCUCUGUGGUGAUUGAAUUUUGUGUAUAUUUCUAUUAAUAUGCCUGCUAUAUUUUAGUUAAAUUUAACUUGUUUAUUGCUGGAUGGUAUACCCCA